UACGAAGGUGGCGAGCGUUGUUCGGAUUCACUGGGCAUAAAGGGCGCGUAGGCGGUGCCGUAAGCGGCGUGUGAAAUCCCAGGGCUCAACCCUGGGGCUGCGCGUCGUACUGCGGCGCUCGAGUACGGGAGGGGGGUGUGGAACUCUAGGUGGAGCGGUGAAAUGCGUAGAUAUCUAGAGGAACACCGGUGGCGAAAGCGACACCCUGGCCCGUAACUGACGCUGAGGCGCGAAAGCGUGGGUAGCAAACAGG
rnacentral:rRNA from 1 species